GAGGUCUUGGCUUAAUUAAAGUGUUUGAGUUGCAAUCAGAAGAUGUAUGUUUAAUACAGGCCUUCAGAA
rnacentral:tRNA from 3 species